rnacentral:misc_RNA from 1 species
GUGAGUCAUCGAAUCUUUGAACGCAUCUUGCGCUCCUUGGUAUUCCGAGGAGCAUGCCUGUUUGAGUGUCGUGAAAUACUCUCAACUUCAAUCUUUUUGUUUGAAGUUGGAUUUGGGCGUUGUUGUGGAUCAUCAUGACUCGUCCUAAAUGCAUUAGCGAUCUGGCUUGAUCACACACAAUGUGAUAAGAAAAAGCAUUGUUACAAUCGAGUGAAGACUGCUUCUAACUGUCGCAAGACAAACAUCUUUAUGUCAUUUGACCUCAAAUCAGGUAGGACUACCCGCUGAACUUAAGCAUAU